rnacentral:rRNA from 1 species
UACGAAGGGGGCUAGCGUUGCUCGGAAUGGCUGGGCGUAAAGGGCGCGUAGGCGGCUCUCAUCGUCGGGCGUGAAAUUCCUGGGCUUAACCUGGGGGCUGCGUUCGAUACGUGGGGACUUGAGUGUGGGAGAGGGUCGUGGAAUUCCCAGUGUAGAGGUGAAAUUCGUAGAUAUUGGGAAGAACACCGGUGGCGAAGGCGGCGACCUGGUCCAUGACUGACGCUGAGGCGCGAAAGCGUGGGGAGCAAACAGG